rnacentral:tRNA from 1 species
GGGCUAUAGCUCAGCAAGGUAGAGCACCUCGUUUACACACCGAGAAGGUCUACGGUUCGA